ensembl:rRNA 5S_rRNA 5S ribosomal RNA
GCUUACGACCACACCGGCCUGAGUACGCCUGAUCUCGUCUGAUCUCGGAAGCUAAGCAGGGUCGGGCCUGGUUAGUACUUGGAUGGGAGACUUCCUGGGAAUACCAGGUGCUGUAAGCU